rnacentral:rRNA from 1 species
AGGCUUAACACAUGCAAGUCGAGCGCCCCGCAAGGGGAGCGGCAGACGGGUGAGUAACGCGUGGGAACGUACCCUUUACUACGGAAUAACGCAGGGAAACUUGUGCUAAUACCGUAUGUGCCCUUCGGGGGAAAGAUUUAUCGGUAAAGGAUCGGCCCGCGUUGGAUUAGCUAGUUGGUGGGGUAAAGGCCUACCAAGGCGACGAUCCAUAGCUGGUCUGAGAGGAUGAUCAGCCACAUUGGGACUGAGACACGGCCCAAACUCCUACGGGAGGCAGCAGUGGGGAAUAUUGGACAAUGGGCGCAAGCCUGAUCCAGCCAUGCCGCGUGAGUGAUGAAGGCCCUAGGGUUGUAAAGCUCUUUCACCGGAGAAGAUAAUGACGGUAUCCGGAGAAGAAGCCCCGGCUAACUUCGUGCCAGCAGCCGCGGUAAUACGAAAGGGGGCUAGCGUUGUUCGGAAUUACUGGGCGUAAAGCGCACGU